rnacentral:tRNA from 1 species
AAUUAAUGAGCUUGUUAUUAAGCAUUUGUUUUGAAAACAUAAGAAAGAAUAUUUUAUUCUAUUAAUUU